rnacentral:misc_RNA from 1 species
GAUGAAGAACGUAGCGAAAUGCGAUAAGUAGUGUGAAUUGCAGAAUUCAGUGAAUCAUCGAAUCUUUGAACGCACAUUGCGCCCCUUGGUAUUCCAUGGGGCAUGCCUGUUCGAGCGUCAUUUGUACCUUCAAGCUCUGCUUGGUGUUGGGUGUUUGUCUCGCCUCUGCGUGUAGACUCGCCUCAAAACAAUUGGCAGCCGGCGUAUUGAUUUCGGAGCGCAGUACAUCUCGCGCUUUGCACUCAUAACGACGACGUCCAAAAGUACAUUUUUACACUCUUGACCUCGGAUCAGGUAGGGAUACCCGCUGAACUUAAGCAUAUCAAUAAGCCGAGGA